rnacentral:pre_miRNA from 3 species
AGUGGAAUUGUUGGGUCAUAUGGUAAUUCUAUGUUUAACUUUUGAGGAACUGCCAGACUGUUUUCAAAGUGACUGCACCAGUUUACAUUCCCACCAGCAAU